CCUACGGGAGGCUGCAGUGGGGAAUAUUGCACAAUGGAGGAAACCCUGAUGCAGCGACGCCGCGUGAGUGAAGAAGUAUCUCGGUAUGUAAAGCUCUUUUAGUAGGGAAGAAAAUGACGGUACCUGUCUAAGAAGCCACGGCUAACUACGUGCCAGCAGCCGCGGUAACACGUAGGGGGCAAGCGUGAUCCGGAUUUACUGGGGGGAAAGGGAGUGUAGACGGGAGCGCAAGUCUGGAGUGAAAUCCCAGGGCUGAACCCUGGGACUGCUUUGGAAACUGUGCAGCUGGAGUGAAGGAGGGGUAAGCGGAAUUCCUGGUGUAGCGGUGAAAUGCGUAGAUAUUAGGAGGAACACCAGUGGCGAAGGCGGCUUACUGGACUGUAACUGACGUUGAGGCUCGAAAGCGUGGGGAGCAAACAGGAUUAGAUACCCCUGUAGUC
rnacentral:rRNA from 1 species